CCGAGUCUGCGAUUUCCGAAUGGGGAAACCCAACUGCAUAAGCAGUUACUGUUAACUGAAUACAUAGGUUAACAGAGCAAACCGGGGGAACUGAAACAUCUAAGUACCCCGAGGAGAAGAAAUCAACCGAGAUUCCGGUAGUAGCGGCGAGCGAACCUGGAUUAGCCCUUAAGCACUCGGUGAAGUAGGUGAACAAGCUGGAAAGCUUGGCGAUACAGGGUGAUAGCCCCGUAACCGACGCUUCAUCGAGCGUGAAAUCGAGUAGGGCGGGACACGUGAUAUCCUGUCUGAAUAUGGGGGGACCAUCCUCCAAGGCUAAAUACUCCUGACUGACCGAUAGUGAACCAGUACCGUGAGGGAAAGGCGAAAAGAACCCCUGUGAGGGGAGUGAAAUAGAACCUGAAACCGUGUACGUACAAGCAGUAGGAGCACCUUCGUGGUGUGACUGCGUACCUUUUGUAUAAUGGGUCAGCGACUUAUAUUCAGUGGCAAGGUUAACCGUAUAGGGGAGCCGUAGCGAAAGCGAGUCUUAACUGGGCGCUCAGUCUCUGGAUAUAGACCCGAAACCGGGUGAUCUAGCCAUGGGCAGGUUGAAGGUUGAGUAACAUCAACUGGAGGACCGAACCGACUAAUGUUGAAAAAUUAGCGGAUGACUUGUGGCUAGGGGUGAAAGGCCAAUCAAACUCGGAGAUAGCUGGUUCUCCCCGAAAGCUAUUUAGGUAGCGCCUCGGACGAAUACUACUGGGGGUAGAGCACUGUUAAGGCUAGGGGGUCAUCCCGACUUACCAACCCUUUGCAAACUCCGAAUACCAGUAAGUACUAUCCGGGAGACACACGGCGGGUGCUAACGUCCGUCGUGGAGAGGGAAACAACCCAGACCGCCAGCUAAGGUCCCAAAGUAUUGCUAAGUGGGAAACGAUGUGGGAAGGCUCAGACAGCUAGGAUGUUGGCUUAGAAGCAGCCAUCAUUUAAAGAAAGCGUAAUAGCUCACUAGUCGAGUCGGCCUGCGCGGAAGAUGUAACGGGGCUAAGCAAUACACCGAAGCUGCGGCAAUGUCUUUUAGAUAUUGGGUAGGGGAGCGUUCUGUAAGCCGUUGAAGGUGAAUCGUAAGGUUUGCUGGAGGUAUCAGAAGUGCGAAUGCUGACAUGAGUAACGACAAAGGGGGUGAAAAACCUCCUCGCCGGAAGACCAAGGGUUCCUGUCCAACGUUAAUCGGGGCAGGGUGAGUCGACCCCUAAGGUGAGGCCGAAAGGCGUAAUCGAUGGGAAACGGGUUAAUAUUCCCGUACUUCUGACUAUUGCGAUGGGGGGACGGAGAAGGCUAGGUGGGCCAGGCGACGGUUGUCCUGGUUCAAGUGCGUAGGCUUGAGAGUUAGGUAAAUCCGGCUCUCUUUAAGGCUGAGACACGACGUCGAGCUGCUACGGCAGUGAAGUCAUUGAUGCCAUGCUUCCAGGAAAAGCCUCUAAGCUUCAGAUAGUCAGGAAUCGUACCCCAAACCGACACAGGUGGUCGGGUAGAGAAUACCAAGGCGCUUGAGAGAACUCGGGUGAAGGAACUAGGCAAAAUGGUACCGUAACUUCGGGAGAAGGUACGCUCUUAAUGGUGAAGUCCCUCGCGGAUGGAGCUGACGAGAGUCGCAGAUACCAGGUGGCUGCAACUGUUUAUUAAAAACACAGCACUGUGCAAAAUCGCAAGAUGACGUAUACGGUGUGACGCCUGCCCGGUGCCGGAAGGUUAAUUGAUGGGGUUAGCGCAAGCGAAGCUCUUGAUCGAAGCCCCGGUAAACGGCGGCCGUAACUAUAACGGUCCUAAGGUAGCGAAAUUCCUUGUCGGGUAAGUUCCGACCUGCACGAAUGGCGUAAUGAUGGCCACGCUGUCUCCACCCGAGACUCAGUGAAAUUGAAAUCGCUGUGAAGAUGCAGUGUACCCGCGGCUAGACGGAAAGACCCCGUGAACCUUUACUACAGCUUGGCACUGAACAUUGAACCUACAUGUGUAGGAUAGGUGGGAGGCUAUGAAGACGUGACGCCAGUUGCGUUGGAGCCGUCCUUGAAAUACCACCCUUGUAUGUUUGAUGUUCUAACUUAGACCCGUUAUCCGGGUUGAGGACAGUGCCUGGUGGGUAGUUUGACUGGGGCGGUCUCCUCCCAAAGAGUAACGGAGGAGCACGAAGGUGGGCUAAUCACGGUUGGACAUCGUGAGGUUAGUGCAAUGGCAUAAGCCCGCUUAACUGCGAGAAUGACGGUUCGAGCAGGUGCGAAAGCAGGUCAUAGUGAUCCGGUGGUUCUGUAUGGAAGGGCCAUCGCUCAACGGAUAAAAGGUACUCCGGGGAUAACAGGCUGAUACCGCCCAAGAGUUCAUAUCGACGGCGGUGUUUGGCACCUCGAUGUCGGCUCAUCACAUCCUGGGGCUGAAGUCGGUCCCAAGGGUAUGGCUGUUCGCCAUUUAAAGUGGUACGCGAGCUGGGUUUAGAACGUCGUGAGACAGUUCGGUCCCUAUCUGCCGUGGGCGUUGGAAGAUUGAAGGGGGCUGCUCCUAGUACGAGAGGACCGGAGUGGACGAACCUCUGGUGUUCGGGUUGUGUCGCCAGACGCAUUGCCCGGUAGCUAAGUUCGGAAUUGAUAAGCGCUGAAAGCAUCUAAGCGCGAAGCGAGCCCUGAGAUGAGUCUUCCC
rnacentral:rRNA from 1 species